rfam:Salpingoeca sp. ATCC 50818 unplaced genomic scaffold supercont1.23, whole genome shotgun sequence.
UGACCUCAGUCAGGCAAGGGUACCCCCUGAACUUAAGCAUAUCACUAAGGGGAGGAAGAGAAACUAACAAGGAUUCCCUCAGUAACGGCGAGUGAAGCGGGAAGAGCUCAAGCAUUGGAAUCUCCACAAUUCUUUCAUAUUGUGGCGAGUUGUAGUCUUUAUGGGAUGCGGGCCGUCGCAUGUCUUUGUGAUGGUGCACAGCUUUUGUUGUGCAUUGUUGUUUGGCGCAGCACCGAGUUUCCUUGGAAGAGGACACCGGAGAGGGUGAGAGUCCCGUUGGUGCUACAUUAUUUGCGCUGAUGUGCGGUGUGUGGUCCGUUUAUUCUCUUGAGUCGGGUUGUUUGGGAAUGCAGCCCAAAGCCGGGUGGUAAACUGCAUCCAAGGCUAAAUACUGGCACGAGACCGAUAGCGAACAAGUACCGUGAGGGAAAGAUGAAAAGCACUUUGAAAAGAGAGUUAAACAGUACGUGAAACCGUUGACAGAGAAUCGCUUGCAGCUAGCAGAGACUGGGCGCGCCUUGUGAUCAGGGCUUUUGGUGUGGUGUGCGAUGAUGGUGCGGGGGGUGUAUUGUGUGUACUUGUUGCACAUGUGCGCCGCUGCGUUGCUGUUGUUGUGUGCUGCGCUGCCUGCACUCGCGGGGCGUGUCUGCCAGCAUGAGUUUUGUGUGUGAGAGACGGCGAUGCGAGGGCGCCCUUGUGCGUGGCGCAUCUGCUUUUUUAUGUUUCUGUCGCACGCGGGACUGAGGAACUUAUCGAUGCGGUGGCUUUGUUAUGUGGUCUUUGGCAUGGGUGCUGUUUUCGGCAUUGUGUUGCGCAGACUCUUGUUUUGGGAUGAGGAAAGACUUGUGCUUUCUCUUGUUGCUGUUGACAGAGUGUGUGCGGGCGGUGUUGGGAAUGUUGCGCUUGCCGCUUGGCGCACACCACCGGGGAGAUGCUGGCGACAGGGCUGCAAACGGCCCGUCUUGAAACACGGACCAAGGAGUCUAACAUGUGCGCGAGUGUUUUAGCGAGCAUGAAGCUAGGGCGCGCAAUGAAAGUGAGAGGUGGGAUGCAGUGUUGGGAAGUGUGCGUGAGUACACUUUUAACAGCAGCACUCGCAGCACCAUCGACCGAUCUGGAUUGGGGGAGGGGGGAGGGUGUGCGGCAGCAAUGCCAAUCAUUCUUCCACCUUCUCCGCUGAAGGAUUUGCGUUUUAGCGCAGAUGUUAGGACCCGAUAGAUGGUGAACUAUGCCUGAGUAGGGCGAAGCCAGAGGAAACUCUGGUGGAGGCUCGUAGCGAUCAUGACGUGCAAAUCUGUCGUCGAACUUGGGUAUAGGGGCGAAAGACUCAUCGAACCAUCUAGUAGCUGGUUCCCACCGAAGUUUCCCUCAGGAUAGCUGAGACUUAUUUUUCUAUGAUUGGUUAGUUUUAUCUGGUAAAGCGAAUGAUUAGAGGCCUUGGGGGAGCCACUUCCCUCAACCUAUUCUCAAACUUUAAAUGGGUAAGGCGGCGCGCUUUCUUUGUUUAUGAAGCGGGCAAUGCUGAAUAACCGAGUCUCAAGUGGGCCAUUUUUGGUAAGCAGAACUGGCGAUGCGGGAUGAACCGAACGCGGAGUUAGGGUGCCGGAAUCGACGCUCAUGAGAACCCACAAAAGGUGUUGGUUGAUAUAGACAGCAGGACGGUGGCCAUGGAAGUCGGAAUCCGCUAAGGAGUGUGUAACAACUCACCUGCCGAAUCAACUAGCCCUGAAAAUGGAUGGCGCUCAAGCGUCGUACCUAUACUCCGCUGUGUGUGGAAGAAAGCGAGCGAAGCGAGCAUUCGUGCUUGUUGCGUCUCAAAACUACAUGUAGCCACACACAAGUAGGUGGGCGUGGAGGUGUUUGCGUGAGAGCAAUCUUUUGAACAAGCCGUGGAAGCCUGUGGCGUGAGCCUGGGUGGAGGGGCCUCCAGUGCAGAUCUUGGUGACAGUAGCAACGAUUCAAAUGAGAGCUUUGAAGACUGAAGUGGAGCAAGGUUCCGUGGGAACAGCAGUUGGCCACGGGUGAGUCGGUCCUAAGAGAUGGGGCAGUCCUGUGUCAAGUGGGGAGUUGUUGCGUGUGUGUGGGUGGUGGUGAUAUUAUCGCCAUGCUUGCACACGUGUUGAUUACCCCAGUCCAUCGAAAGGGAACCAGGUUAAGAUUCCUGGACCAACGCACGGCCACAAAAGAAUGUUUUUGGUAGAGCAGCGGGCAACGCGUACAAACUCGGAGACGCUGCCGGGGGCCCUGGAAAGAGUUUUCUUUUCUUUUUAACGAGCCGCAUUGUGGGGGGGGAGUAAGGGGGAGGAGUGUACUCUGUGCGCUCUUCAACCUUCCUCGUCGCAUUCUCUGACCCUGGAAUCAGUUUGGCUGGAGAUGGGGUGAGAGGCUCGGCAAAGCACCACUGACCUUUUUUUGUUGUGGUGUCCGGCGCGUUCCCGGCGGUCCAUGAAAAUCCGAGGGUGUGAAUGGUAGCAGUGUGGGGGGAAGAAGAGAAGCACUUGUGCUAAUCUAUUUUCUCCGCUGCAUGUGGGCGUGGUUGGCCGUACUGAUAACCGCAGCAGGUCUCCAAGGUGAAGAGCCUCUAGUUUGAUAGACGAAUGUAGGUAAGGGAAGUCGGCAAAAUAGAUCCGUAAGCUCGCGAUAAGGAUUGGCUCAAGAGGUUGAUUGUGUGUGUGGGGGGUGGCGGUGAAAGGGGGUGUGUGUGUUCUCAUACACGCUUCCAUUGGCACCCUUACUGUCUGCGCACACUAUUUUUUAGCAACCGAUCUUGAACUGGUACGGACAAGGGGAAUCCGACUGUUUACUUAAAACAAAGCAUUGCGAGGAUAGGCUGUUGCGACGGUGUAGACGCAAUGUGAUUUCUGCCCAGUGCUCAGAAUGUCAACGUGAAGAAAUUCAAGCCAAGCGCGGGAUCAACGGCGGAAGUUUUCUAUGCAAGGGGCCGGUACAAGGGUUAAUACAGUGGGUUGUACACGGUGGGGGUUUACUAGAUCUAGAUGUGGGUUUGCUAAAUCUAGAUUUUCUACUAGAUCUAGAUGUGGGUUUGCUAAAUCUAGAUUUUCUGCUAGAUCUAGAUGUGGGUUUGCUAAAUCUAGAUCUUUUGCUAGAUCUAGAUGUGGGUUUGCUAAAUCUAGAUUUUCUACUAGAUCUAGAUGUGGGUUUGCUAAAUCUAGAUUUUCUGCUAGAUCUAGAUGUGGGUUUGCUAAAUCUAGAUUUUCUGCUAGAUCUAGAUGUGGGUUUGCUAAAUCUAGAUUUUCUACUAGAUCUAGAUGUGGGUUUGCUAAAUCUAGAUUUUCUGCUAGAUCUAGAUGUGGGUUAGGGUUAGGGUUAGGGUUAGGGUUAGGGUUAGGGUUAGGGUUAGGGUUAGGGUUAGGGUUAGGGUUAGGGUUAGGGUUAGGGUUAGGGUUAGGGUUAGGGUUAGGGUUAGGGUUAGGGUUAGGGUUAGGGUUAGGGUUAGGGUUAGGGUUAGGGUUAGGGUUAGGGUUAGGGUUAGGGUUAGGGUUAGGGUUAGGGUUAGGGUUAGGGUUAGGGUUAGGGUUAGGGUUAGGGUUAGGGUUAGGGUUAGGGUUAGGGUUAGGGUUAGGGUUAGGGUUAGGGUUAGGGUUAGGGUUAGGGUUAGGGUUAAG